GGGAGGCAGCAGUGGGGAAUUUUGCGCAAUGGGCGAAACUGACGCAGCAACGCCGCGUGGAGGAUGAAGGCCUUCGGGUCGUAAACUCCUGUCAGGGGGGACGAAAGCCCUUUGGGUUUGACUGUACCCCCUGAGGAAGCCACGGCUAACUCCGUGCCAGCAGCCGCGGUAAUACGGAGGUGGCAAGCGUUGUUCGGAAUUACUGGGCGUAAAGGGCGCGUAGGCGGCUUGGCAAGUCAGAUGUGAAAGCCCCGGGCUUAACUCGGGAAUUGCAUCUGAAACUGCUUUGCUUGAGUCCUGGAGGGGGUAGUGGAAUUCCCAGUGUAGCGGUGAAAUGCGUAGAUAUUGGGAGGAACACCAGCGGCGAAGGCGGCUACCUGGACAGUGACUGACGCUGAGGCGCGAAACUAGGGGAGCGAACGGGAUUAGAUACCCCGGUAGUCCUAGCCUUAAACGAUGGGCACUUGGUGUCGGGGGUAUUGAGUCCCCUGGUGCCGGAGUUAACACGUUAAGUGCCCCGCCUGGGGAGUACGGUCGCAAGACUGAAACUCAAAUGAAUUGWCGG
rnacentral:rRNA from 1 species